GAUCCUGGCUCAGGAUGAACGCUGGCGGCGUGCAUAACACAUUCAAGUCGAACGGGGUAUACGAGGAGCUUGCUUUUUGUAUACUUAGUGGCGGACGGGUGAGUAACGCGUGAGCAACCUGCCUGUUAGAGGGGAAUAACGUCUGGAAACGGACGCUAAUACCGCAUAAAGCAUGAGGGGCGCAUGUUUUUCAUGCCAAAGAUUUAUCGCUAACAGAUGGGCUCGCGUCCGAUUAGGUAGUUGGUG
rnacentral:rRNA from 1 species